rnacentral:lncRNA from 1 species
GGGAUUCCUGAGUGUGCCCUUCUUGACCUAAUAUCUAUUUUUAAAUUUCUGUAUCUUAAAAUGGAAGCUGGUAGACAGAUAAUCCUCUCCUUACCACCCCUUUUACAGUAAACCAAUGUGACAGUACUGAUUAAUGGAUCAAAGUCAACAUGCCCACAAGUAGGAUUUUUAUCCAAUUACAUCCUUUGAAAAAUUGCAUCUACUGGGGUGGAGUUUGUGGCAUGUGUAAUAAUGAAUCAUCAAAUAGUUAAGAUUGGAAAAAGAUAGUACCCCCAUAAAACGUGGACUCAGCACCUGUUUCAUCUCACUGGCUGGAAGCCAGGAGAGUCAGUGCUAAUGACAUAUUUUAAUAUCAUUCAUGUGCUUUCCAUUGGAUCACUGAUGAAGCCAGCAGUCACACGAAUACCUCAGUGCACCUCUUGGAAGAUGAUCUUCAUAGUCUUUCUCUCUCUCGCAUAUAUUUUAUUUUUCUGAACCAUUUGAGAGAAGAUUACAUAUAUUAUGAAAGAGACAUGAUAUAAUAUUAUGAGGCAUUAAGGGGGUGACUUUAGAUUUUAGAGUUUUGUUAGCUUUUCUUUGCUGUGACCAAAAUACCUGAUAAGAACAAUUUAGAGGAG